ACCUCCUUUCUGGUCUUAUAUAAAGGCCACUCCACAGCCGUUUCAGCACACUGGUAGUCUCGUAUUCUCCUUAUGCGCUUCUGAAAAUCUAUGGUUGGGGUUUCUCAGAUUAACCCCUCGUUCUUUUUUUAAAUAGGAUUAGGGUUUCCCGGUGAUCUUCUCUUAAUUUUCUUGCGGCUUGGUUGAUGUUUCGUUUCUUAUGGUUUCCCUGAUAAAUUAGGGUUUUGGUUGGUAUCGCCGAUGUUUCGUCGGCAACAUGUUUUGAUAAUAAGGGAGCAGAAUGAGAUCAUAUGAUGAGGAAAAAAACUGCAACAAAAUGAUCGAUUAUUAUCGUGAUUACCUAAAAAGACAGGUUUGUGAAAUGGGAGAUAUGAUGAUAAAUUUAUUUGGUCCGUGUUUCUGAUUCAACCGUGACCGACAAACCUAUACCAAUAUCUGAUUCUCCCGAUACAUCAAUUUUCAUCUUCAAUUAAUCGUGAAUCUUUUUUAUCUCUGCUGUAUUUUGUUAUGUGGAGUCAAAUACUGUUGUUUCUCUUGAUCAAAUUUUACUGCUGUGAUGAUUUAUGAAUAAAUUCACAUGUCAGACUUCAGAGACUUCUAAGUCUAUGAGAAUGUAAAUUCAUGAUUCUGAGCAGU